rnacentral:misc_RNA from 1 species
GUUUUUUGGAAGUGGACACUGUAUAAUAUACCCCAUUGUGCAUUUCACCAUUGGAACGGAAAUGAAAAUGCCAAUGAAAUAAUUCAAUAAUUAGCAUAUCGAUUAAUGAAAACACAGCUUUGUUGAAUUGAGUUGCAAGUUAUUAAAACAUUGUAAAGAUUACUCAAUUCUCACAGCCUUGAGAGUAAGGAACCCCACAAAAAAAUUCAACUACAAAGUAUAAGAGAUAAUCCCAAUUACAAUGAAAUAAUCAAAUUUAAGCAAACUAAUCAAGCCACACCCAAGAAAAGAUUAAAAGCACAAAAAAGGGAAAAUUAUUAAUUUUUUUUUAAAGAAGUACCAAACAGUAGCAUAGUUCAUUAAACAGAGCAAGUUCCAAAAAGAAUGAACAAAUAAAAUAAAAGAAAAAGAAAAACCAACAUAUUGAGUAGUAGUAUAUAUUAACAUAAAUUAUCAUCAAUAAAAGAUGGCAGUAUAUCACAAAAUUAUCCUAGAUCAGAUGCUUAGCCAAAGUAAGAUUUCUCCACACGAGAACUACCAGAUGAAAAGUUCUAUUAAAAGCCACAUUACAAUGAAGACCCCAAAUAAUAAGUGGUGUAGACAUUUAAGUAGAUUAAGCAGCAAGAUUGGCACAACAAUAAGAUUGCCCCUUUGUGAUCAGAAGGUCAUUGCAUUGGAGUUAUGACAAAAAUAGAGGGCAAGGCUGCCUGUAAUAUAUGACCAUUGAAAAGGGGGGAGCCUCGUGCACUAAAGAUAUGCUUUUGUAAGGCAGUAUCAUCACUGAAGGAAAUCAACAAGUGCAAUAAUAUUUUGGAGUGUUACAUUAUCAAAGUAAAGACAAAAUUUCCAAGGUAUUCACAUCAUACAACUAUAUCUGUUAUAUCCUCUAGCAAAGGCUUCUGUUAUA